AACGUAGGAGACAAACGUUAUCCGGAGUUACUGGGCGUAAAGCGCACGUAGGUGGCGACGUAAGUCGGGUGUGAAAGCCCCGGGCUCAACCUGGGAAUUGCAUUCGAGACUGCAUUGCUGGAGUACGGAAGAGGAGGGCGGAAUUCCCGGUGUAGCGGUGAAAUGCGUAGAUAUCGGGAGGAACAUCAGUGGCGAAGGCGGCCCUCUGGUCCAGUACUGACACUCAAGUGCGAAAGCGUGGGGAGCAAACAGG
rnacentral:rRNA from 1 species